rnacentral:rRNA from 1 species
UAGCGUAGGGUGCGAGCGUUUGUCCGGAAUUACUGGGCGUAAAGAGCUCGUAGGUGGUUUGUCGCGUUGUCCGUGAAAACUCACAACUCAAUUGUGGGCGUGCGGGCGAUACGGGCAGACUGGAGUACUGCAGGGGAGACUGGAAUUCCUGGUGUAGCGGUGGAAUGCGCAGAGUAUCAGGAGGAACACCGGUGGCGAAGGCGGGUCUCUGGGCCGAUACUGACGCUGAGGAGCGAAAGCGUGGGGAGCGAACAGG